UACAGAGGGUGCAAGCGUUAAUCGGAAUUACUGGGCGUAAAGCGAGCGUAGUCGGUUAUUUAAGUCGGAUGUGAAAUCCCCGGGCUCAACCUGGGAAUGGCGAUGGAUACUGGCUCGCUAGAGUGCGGUAGAGGAGAGUGGAAUUCCCGGUGUAGCAGUGAAAUGCGUAGAGAUCGGGAGGAACAUCAGUUGCGAAGGCGGCUCUCUGGACCAGCACUGACACUGAGGCACGAAAGCGUGGGGAGCAAACAGG
rnacentral:rRNA from 1 species